ACACGUGACGUUUUUUCUCCUUUUUUUUAUGGCUGUGUUGUUGGUUUUAGUGAAACCUUGCAGGACAUAGUCAUUCUUGCUCUUUUACUUACAAGCUUGAGAUAUUUUAAUCUGGACUUUAACAUUAAUCAAGAUUAAUCAUAAUCAACAUCAAUCCAUUUUUCAGAAGUUCAAAUAAAUUCCAACAUUUUGGUUCUGUGAUCAACAUGCCAACUAUGGAAUUCAGGAAAGUCAGUUUCAUGUGGACGAUUGUCUCCCUUCUUCAAGCCAAAGCGUUGCUUUUCUCGACAAUUGGCUUCGCAGGGAACUAUAUGGUCACUGCCACUGCGGGUGGAGAAUGGGGCCACAUUGGACUCUGGACAAUUUGUACUUUUCUAGAUGCAAUUUGCUUUGACGCAGUUAACCUGGCUGAACUUAUAGGCGGCAGC
rnacentral:sRNA from 1 species